GUGCUUGCUUUGGCAGCACGUAUUCUCAAACUGGAAUGAUACAGAGAUUAGCACCGCCCCUGUACAAGGAUGACACGCACAUGCAUAUUUUA
ensembl:snRNA U6 U6 spliceosomal RNA